CCUACGGGAGGCAGCAGUAGGGAAUCUUUCACAAUGGGCGAAAGCCUGAUGGAGCAACGCCGCGUGCAGGAUGAAGGCCUUCGGGUUGUAAACUGCUUUUAUAAGCGAGAAAUAUGAUGGUAACUUAUGAAUAAGGAUCGGCUAACUACGUGCCAGCAGCCGCGGUCAUACGUAGGAUCCGAGCAUUAUCCGGAGUGACUGGGUGUAAAGAGUUGCGUAGGUGGCAUAAUAAGUAGCUAGUGAAAUCUGGUGGCUCAACCAUUCAGACUAUUAGCUAAACUGUUAAGCUCGAGACCGUUAGGGGUAACUGGAAUUUUUAGUGUAGGAGUGAAAUCCGUAGAUAUUAGAAGGAACACCAAUAGCGUAGGCAGGUUGCUGGGACGGUUCUGACACUAAGGCACGAAAGCGUAGGGAGCAAACGGGAUUAGAUACCCGUGUAGUC
rnacentral:rRNA from 1 species